rnacentral:rRNA from 1 species
GUUUGAUCCUGGCUCAGGAUGAACGCUAGCGGCAGGCUUAACACAUGCAAGUCGAGGGGUAUAGUUCUUCGGAACUAGAGACCGGCGCACGGGUGCGUAACGCGUAUGCAAUCUACCUUUUACAGAGGGAUAGCCCAGAGAAAUUUGGAUUAAUACCUCAUAGUAUAAUGAGUUGGCAUCAAUACAUUAUUAAAGUCACAACGGUAAAAGAUGAGCAUGCGUCCCAUUAGCUUGUUGGUAAGGUAACGGCUUACCAAGGCAACGAUGGGUAGGGGUCCUGAGAGGGAGAUCCCCCACACUGGUACUGAGACACGGACCAGACUCCUACGGGAGGCAGCAGUGAGGAAUAUUGGACAAUGGGCGCAAGCCUGAUCCAGCCAUGCCGCGUGCAGGAUGACGGUCCUAUGGAUUGUAAACUGCUUUUGUACAGGAAGAAACACUGGUUCGUGAACCAGCUUGACGGUACUGUAAGAAUAAGGAUCGGCUAACUCCGUGCCAGCAGCCGCGGUAAUACGGAGGAUCCAAGCGUUAUCCGGAAUCAUUGGGUUUAAAGGGUCCGUAGGCGGUCAGAUAAGUCAGUGGUGAAAGCCCAUCGCUCAACGGUGGAACGGCCAUUGAUACUGUCUGACUUGAAUUAUUAGGAAGUAACUAGAAUAUGUAGUGUAGCGGUGAAAUGCUUAGAGAUUACAUGGAAUACCAAUUGCGAAGGCAGGUUACUACUAAUGGAUUGACGCUGAUGGACGAAAGCGUGGGUAGCGAACAGGAUUAGAUACCCUGGUAGUCCACGCCGUAAACGAUGGAUACUAGCUGUUGGGAGCAAUCUCAGUGGCUAAGCGAAAGUGAUAAGUAUCCCACCUGGGGAGUACGUUCGACAAGAAUGAAACUCAAAGGAAUUGACG